GCACCCUUAGCCUUGCUGGGAAACUAAGAGCAUCCUUGCUCGGGGACUGGCAGGCUGGGCGCGGCCACAUCCCAUCUGCCACCAAAAGACUGCACCCUUCAAGAAUGUAAGGAGCACAUUCUUGAAGGUGGUUGAAACCCAGCGCCUUAUGAUGGAGGAAGCAAACUCAAGGACUCUGGAUGGGGGCCAAGACUGAAAGGUGAUCAAAACCCAGCGCCUUAUGAUGGAGGAAGAUAUACAGGGGGGAAAAUACAGCAUCUGUACUUCAGAAGACCUUGCCCGGACACAAUCCCAGACUGCCUUCCUGUUAGUCUUUUGAAUUCUUGACU